AUGAGGAAGCAGUCCAAGAUGCUGUUGACCAUGUGCACGAAAUGUGCUCUAACCAUAGCAAGUGUCCUGCUCUACCCCAAGACUUUAGGUGGGUGUGUUGUUUUCAGUGGUUCAGUUCCUCUGAGCAAAUCAUUUGCAGGCAGGGUGACACCUGAAACCAGAAAGACGCCGGUAUUAUGGUUCCAUGCGAAGGUAGACGGGGUGGCACUAUUUGAAGCCGGGCACACUGGAUGUGCAUUUCUCCAAGAGCUUGGCAUGGCCUGCGAAUUCAAGGUGAUUUCGUCUGUUGGUGAAGUAAAGCACCCAACACAACACAACUACCACUAUACCUACCGGCUGAUAACUUCAUGCCUACGAACGAAGGAGCAGCACUCUCUCUCACAUGAGAAACUUGGAGCCUGCUUGGUUUGGUGCCAAAUUUUGGCAUCCCUAAAAAAUGAAGUUGAUUGGUUGGGCUCCAACUUUUGUACAGCUUUACCAAAGAAACAUGAGCCAGGUCAUAACAUGCAACCUCUAGGCAUGAGCUCCACCAGCAGUCACAAAUGGACGCCUCCUGGCCGUCGGUCGCACCCGCGGCAACAGCAACAACAACGAGCACAAAUCAUCCCCUCAUUGGUUAGUUCUUUGGUGACUCCGCGCUAUCCGUAUGGGGCCUCCGCCUGCUCCUACUCCUGCAGCGGCGACGCGGCAAGGGCCGGCGCGCUGGUGCUGUGGCUGCACAGCUCCAGCGAGACGGACGAGCAGAGACACUCCCAGGUCGCCCCCUACUUCUCUGACGCCACCGUCACUUGCGGUUUCUUAUUGGAGGGAGAAUGA
rnacentral:rRNA from 1 species